rnacentral:rRNA from 1 species
AACGAACGCUGGCGGCAGGCUUAACACAUGCAAGUCGAGCGCCCCGCAAGGGGAGCGGCAGACGGGUGAGUAACGCGUGGGAAUCUACCCAUCUCUACGGAAUAACGCAUGGAAACGUGUGCUAAUACCGUAUACGUCCUUCGGGAGAAAGAUUUAUCGGAGAUGGAUGAGCCCGCGUUGGAUUAGCUAGUUGGUGGGGUAAAGGCCUACCAAGGCGACGAUCCAUAGCUGGUCUGAGAGGAUGAUCAGCCACACUGGGACUGAGACACGGCCCAGACUCCUACGGGAGGCAGCAGUGGGGAAUAUUGGACAAUGGGCGCAAGCCUGAUCCAGCCAUGCCGCGUGAGUGAUGAAGGCCCUAGGGUUGUAAAGCUCUUUCACCGGUGAAGAUAAUGACGGUAACCGGAGAAGAAGCCCCGGCUAACUUCGUGCCAGCCGCCGCUGUAAAAC